rnacentral:rRNA from 1 species
GUGCUCGAGUGGCGAACGGGUGAGUAACACGUGAGUAACCUGCCCUUGACUUUGGGAUAACUUCAGGAAACUGGGGCUAAUACCGGAUAGGAGCUCCUGCUGCAUGGUGGGGGUUGGAAAGUUUCGGCGGUUGGGGAUGGACUCGCGGCUUAUCAGCUUGUUGGUGGGGUAGUUGCUUACCAAGGCUUUGACGGGUAGCCGGCCUGAGAGGGUGACCGGCCACAUUGGGACUGAGAUACGGCCCAG